rnacentral:rRNA from 1 species
GACGAACGCUGGCGGCGUGCUUAACACAUGCAAGUCGAACGAUGAAGCGGUGCUUGCACCGUGGAUUAGUGGCGAACGGGUGAGUAAUACGUGAGUGACCUACCUUUGACUCUGGGAUAAGCCUGGGAAACUGGGUCUAAUACCGGAUACGACCAAUCUCUGCAUGGGGUGUUGGUGGAAAGCGUUAUGGAGUGGUUUUAGAUGGCUCACGGCCUAUCAGCUUGUUGGUGAGGUAAUGGCUUACCAAGGCGACGACGGGUAGCCGGCCUGAGAGGGUGACCGGCCACACUGGGACUGAGACACGGCCCAGACUCCUACGGGAGGCAGCAGUGGGGAAUAUUGCACAAUGGGCGCAAGCCUGAUGCAGCGACGCCGCGUGAGGGAUGACGGCCUUCGGGUUGUAAACCUCUGUUAGCAUCGAAGAAGCGAAAGUGACGGUAGGUGCAGAGAAAGCGCCGGCUAACUACGUG